rnacentral:sRNA from 1 species
GGUCAUGACAUUUGGCGCUGAAACGUGG